rnacentral:sRNA from 1 species
UUUUUAUAUAUUUUAUUUUUAUAUUACUUUCUAUUUUAAAAACUCGAACUUCAAAACUUUGCCAAAAAAUUAAAAACUUAUCAAAAUUCUUAACAAAAAAAUGUCAAAACUUUAUUCAUUAAAUAUAGUUAAGAACCUUGACUAAUAUCUCAUCAUUGAGGAUGGUCUAAAUGAACUAAGUUGAUUUUUUUUAUAAACCACAAACAUACAUAUUUACAUUUUUAAUAUAUAAAAUUUUUUAAAUUAAAAAAUUAGGAUUAAAUUAAAUCACUAUAGUGUAAUUGAGUUACUUUCUCAUCAUGUAUACUUUAGAUUAUCUUUAAAAGUUAGUUUUUGAAAUAUUUAAUUUCAUCCUUCCCCACAAUCACAAAGGUUUCGAAUGGAGAAAGCGAGUCAAACAUAUCAAGCGGAACAAGAGCGGAUCAAGCGGUUUUAUCGAAACAAGUGCGGAUCAAGCAGUUCUGGCGGUUCAAAUAAAUGUUUGAAUGGUGAAAGCGAAUCAAAUAUUACAGAUCAUAUUAUACAAUCUUUGAUUAUGAUUUUAUUUUCAAAUAUAUUUAUUGUGAUAACUAUUAAAAUGUUUUAUUUUUUUUUAAUUCAAAUACAACAUCAAAAAAAUAAUUUCUAGUAUUUAAUUUUUUCCAUAAUAUAUUUGCAAUAUGUUCUCUCAUAUUGGUCAUAAGACCGCCAUCAACUAUCUUUGUAGCUUCGAUAUUCCCUAAACUAGUUCAAAAUUCGGGUCCUCCAUCUUUAUCUCCCCCAUUACCUCUGCAAAAUCUUCAUCUGAAAAUUUUAAAAUCUGAGAAAAUUAGGUAGUCCUAUUGUAGUCAUUACUAUUUUUUUUUGCACAUGAGUAUUAUAUAUAAGAAAUUCAUAAAGAAUCCUUCUUUUUUUUUCGAAACUCCAAAUAUCCUCCUAAUAAGAGAACGUAAAGAUGCAUGACAUCGAUUAAACAGUUCCUGUUUAUUCCUAGGAGGAGAACCAUUUUCUAAAUUGUGACAUAUGAUACCGAACAACCUUAUUUCGUGAAGAUCUAUAUGGAGCAAGAUUUUUUUUUUGUUCGGAUAGCCUGAAUCAACUACAUAAUAUUUUUCUAUUAGAGGCAAAAGAAAUUCAGAAUCACUAUCUUGUGCGACUAUGAGAACUGAUGUAUCCUGACAAGAUCAUGGUGCUGCAUUCCAAACAAAUGUGAACAACAUAUUUAAAUCACAUAUUGCCAUGACGUUGAAUGAUAAUCUACUAUGUCGAUCCCAAUACAUUCCUUUUAAUUUGGGUUGAAUCUUAACGCAAACAUGAACUCCAUCCAUUGCUUCAACAAAUCCACUAAAAUAUGGCCAAUAUCUCUGAUCUACUUGCAAUCGUUCAGGAAUUCGGAGUAGUUCUUGUCUUGUUGGAGUCUUGAUAUAAUCACAAGCAAGUAACUCAUUCGCUAUAAGGACCUCAAAAUAUUUCUUCUUCAUUGUCUCUUGGUUUCGUCCAAAUCGCAUUCCAACAUGUCUUUGAACUUCAUUGUGACCACAUAUCCGUAAAAAUAACCAAAACAGUGGUUAGGGUUUAGAAUUUUUUCAUGAAAAGAAAAAAGACAAAGAAGGGGCAUCGAACUCGUCACCAUGAUUAUGCAUGGGGCACUUCCUUGCCAGUUGAGCUAGAUGACUAUUCAAUAUCUUUUAAAUUAAUUUUAAUAAUCAGUGUAGGGCACAUGCCCUACUUGCUAUGAGUAUAGAGCCGCCACUGAUAAUGUUCUGAAGGAACUAAGACACAUUCAUAAUAAUUAUAGACAAGCAGCAUCAUCUUCUUGCAGACGACGCUAAAUGUUGUGUCAUCCCCAAACCACCAUCUGUUUGGGCUGGUGCUCUUUGAAAAUAUUAAUUGUAUUAAUUAAAUGUUGGUUGAAUUAUUAAUUCUUCAAAAUUCUCAUUUUUCAAAUUCUACAGCUUUAUUCUUUCCUUGUCGCUAAGAAAUUGGACUCCUCGUACUUGCAAUUGGCAUAUACGAAACCUAUAAUUUGUAAGCAAAAAU